GAAGGCCCAGACCUCUCGACGAACCAAUUGCAUCCAUUGAUACUCUAUGCAACCCUAAUUUAUUCUUUAAUAACUGAAAAUUCCUCCAGAUAACAUGGGUUUCAAUAGGAAAACGAGUAGGGGAUUAUUGUCUCGGAUGAGAUCGCCAAGAUUACAAACAGUCCAAGAACUCCUUAGCUCUCGACAAUUCCAUAAUACGCCAUUCAUAGCGACUAACGGAACUACCCCUGAACCGCCGUCGCCGGACUAAGAAAACUCGCCACUUCAGGUCUGGGACAAAUCCUAGCGGUGCAAUCGCCACAAUAAAGCAACUAGAAAAACUUGUGCUGAAGGUGUCAAUGAAAGGUUUGUUGGAAAAUGAUGAAUUACAAUCAAAGGACUUCCCAAACUCAUAAGUGUUUCACAUGUUGAUGGGCUUAGUGCAAAUUUUAUUAGCAUAAGUCAAUUAUGAGAAAAAAAUUUAUUAGCAUAAGUCAAUUACAUGUUAAAUUUGAAAAAAAAAUUCUUGUUAUGUGUUUUAUAACUCUAAGCCUUGUAUUUUAGCAGCCAUAAGAUCCAUAACAAUUGUUAUCAAAUUGGUGGCAAUCAAGUGUGUAAAAGCACACGCUUGAGUGAAAUCGAAUUAUGGCAUCAAAAGUUAGGCCAUGUAGAUUUCAUGAAUUUACAGAGGCUGAUCAAAUAUGAAGUUGCAAAAGGGGUUCCAAAAGUGGACAGUAAGAACACAUUUGGUUGUGAUUGGUGCCAACAAGGUAAACAGACGUGUAACAUGUUACGACACUUUGGCACACACCAAUAUUUUGUACUUCUGCACAUGAUUAUUAUGGGUCCGAUUGAUUUUAUGAGCCUUGGUGGUAAUAUGUAC
rnacentral:lncRNA from 1 species